GUUGACCUCGGAUCAGGUAGGAAUACCCGCUGAACUUAAGCAUAUCAAUAAGCGGAGGAAAAGAAACCAACAGGGAUUGCCCUAGUAACGGCGAGUGAAGCGGCAAC
rnacentral:rRNA from 1 species